rnacentral:rRNA from 1 species
UACGUAGGGUGCAAGCGUUGUCCGGAAUCAUUGGGCGUAAAGAGCGUGUAGGCGGCCCGAUAAGUCCGCUGUGAAAGUCCAGGGCUCAACCCUGGAAUGCCGGUGGAAACUGUCGAGCUAGAGUCCGGAAGAGGCGAGUGGAAUUCCUGGUGUAGCGGUGAAAUGCGCAGAUAUCAGGAGGAACACCAAUGGCGAAGGCAGCUCGCUGGGACGGUACUGACGCUGAGACGCGAAAGCGUGGGGAGCAAACAGG